rnacentral:rRNA from 1 species
CCUACGGGUGACUGCAGUGAGGAAUAUUGGUCAAUGGGCGCGAGUCUGAACCAGCCAAGCAGCGUGCAGGACGACGGCUCUAUGAGUUGUAAACUUCUUUUAUAAGAGAGUAAACUCAGGUACGCGUCUCUGUCUGAAAGUAUCUUCAGAAUAAGGAUCGGCUAACUCCGUUCCAGCAGCCGCGGUAAUACGGAGGAUUCAAGCGUUAUCCGGAUUUAUUGGGUUUAAAGGGGGCGUAGGCGGGCUGAUAAGUUAGUGGUGAAAGCCCGGGGCUCAACUUCGGAAUUGCCGUUGAUACUGGUCGGCUAGAGAGCAGGUGCGGUAGGCGGAAUGUAUGGUGUAGCGGUGAAAUGCUUAGAGAUCAUACAGAACACCGAUUGCGAAGGCAGCUUACCAAGCUACCUCUGACGUUGAGGCACGAAAGCGUGGGUAGCAAACAGGAUUAGAUACCCCAGUAGUC